UACGUAGGGCGCAAGCGUUGUCCGGAAUUAUUGGGCGGAAAGAGCUCGUAGGCGGCUUGUCGCGUCGGUUGUGAAAGCCCGGGGCUUAACCCCGGGUCUGCAGUCGAUACGGGCAGGCUAGAGUUCGGUAGGGGAGAUCGGAAUUCCUGGUGUAGCGGUGAAAUGCGCAGAUAUCAGGAGGAACACCGGUGGCGAAGGCGGAUCUCUGGGCCGAUACUGACGCUGAGGAGCGAAAGCGUGGGGAGCGAACAGG
rnacentral:rRNA from 1 species